rnacentral:rRNA from 1 species
GAACGCUGGCGGCGUGCUUAACACAUGCAAGUCGAACGAAGAUAUUUAGAAUGAGAGCUUCGGCAGGAUUUUUAUUUAUCUUAGUGGCGGACGGGUGAGUAACGUGUGGGCAACCUGCCCUAUACUGGGGAAUAAUCACUGGAAACGGUGACUAAUACCGCAUGUCAUUACGGAAGGGCAUCCUUCUGUAAGAAAAGGAGUAAUUCGGUAUAGGAUGGGCCCGCAUCUGAUUAGCUAGUUGGUGAGAUAACAGCCCACCAAGGCGACGAUCAGUAGCCGACCUGAGAGGGUGAUCGGCCACAUUGGGACUGAGACACGGCCCAAACUCCUACGGGAGGCAGCAGUGGGGAAUAUUGCACAAUGGGGGAAACCCUGAUGCAGCAACGCCGCGUGAAGGAAGAAGGUUUUCGGAUCGUAAACUUCUAUCAACAGGGACGAAGAAAGUGACGGUACCUGAAUAAGAAGCCCCGGCUAACUACGUGCCAGCAGCCGCGGUAAUACGUAGGGGGCAAGCGUUAUCCGGAAUUACUGGGUGUAAAGGGAGCGUAGGCGGCACGCCAAGCCAGAUGUGAAAGCCCGAGGCUUAACCUCGCGGAUUGCAUUUGGAACUGGCGAGCUAGAGUACAGGAGAGGAAAGCGGAAUUCCUAGUGUAGCGGUGAAAUGCGUAGAUAUUAGGAAGAACACCAGUGGCGAAGGCGGCUUUCUGGACUGAAACUGACGCUGAGGCUCGAAAGCGUGGGGAGCAAACAGGAUUAGAUACCCUGGUAGUCCACGCCGUAAACGAUGAGUGCUAGGUGUCGGGGAGGAAUCCUCGGUGCCGCAGCUAACGCAAUAAGCACUCCACCUGGGGAGUACGACCGCAAGGUUGAAACUCAAAUGAAUUGACGG